rnacentral:rRNA from 1 species
GACGAACGCUGGCGGCGUGCUUAACACAUGCAAGUCGAACGGAAAGGCCCUGCUUGCAGGGUGCUCGAGUGGCGAACGGGUGAGUAACACGUGGGUGAUCUGCCCCUUACUUUGGGAUAAGCCUGGGAAACUGGGUCUAAUACUGGAUAGGACCAUGCUGUAGGUGGUGUGGUGGAAAGAUUAGUUUCGGUAAGGGAUGAGCUCGCGGCCUAUCAGCUUGUUUGUGGGGUAAUGGCCUACCAAGGCGUCGACGGGUAGCCGGCCUGAGAGGGUGGACGGCGACAUUCGGACUGAGAUACGGCGCAGAGUAGUACUAGAGGCAGCAGUGGGGAAUAUUGCACAAUGGGCGCAAGCCUGAUGCAGCGACGCCGCGUGGGGGAUGACGGUCUUCGGGUUGUAAACUCCUUGCAGCAAUGACGAAGCACUUGUGGUGACGGUAGUGGUAGAAGAAGCACCGGCUAACUACGUG